CCAGUGGUGAAAAUCAUCCCACCCUGUUGCCAUGAUGGCAACUAUGUCAUAGAUUCACCACAGCUUCCACCUCCUGUUAGUUGCCUGUGUCGUGUGCAUUGGUGUAGAUGCACUUCAGAUGGGCUAUUGAUCCCAUCACCUUUUUGAGGGGUGAUACCUUAAUUCCUACAUGACCGUUCUCAGGCACUCCCACCAUUUCUAACUCAUCAAUAACCCUUGCAUCUUUGCUGCUAAGGAUCCUUUAAAAGGAAAAUUUAUUAUCCGAGUGUUUUUAACUGUGUUCUCCAGUCCCGUGCACUCGAUUGUCAUAAUCUAGAGCCAUACCAGUCUCUGGGUAGCAGUUUUUUAGCAAUUCAGAAGAUUUAUGUGUCUGUUGCUGUGCUGAAUGCCAUUUUUUGACUUUGCAUCUUACAGCAGUUUAAAGCUUUGGGGCAUUCGUCUGUCAUGAUUGAUGUUUGUCAUGAUGUACUGCACAAACAUCUUUAAAAACACUGGAUGCUGCUACUUUCCAGAGCUGCUUAAAAGAAUUGUCAUGUCUCAGCUAAAAUGGAAAAGAAUUGCUCAUCUGAGGCAAAGAGCUCUCACAGAGUUUGUCUUCAAAAUCGGUAAUCAGAAGUGACUGCUCUUCAGGAGAUCAGAGCUUCCAAUGUAUCAUGCUGGGCUUCUAUUCUACCAGAGGAUGAAAUGACU